GGGCGUUUAGCUCAGUUGGUUAGAGCGCUACCUUCACACGGUAGAAGUCACAGGUUCGAGUCCUGUAACGCCCACCA
rnacentral:tRNA from 1 species